GCCACCUUAGCUCAGUUGGUAGAGCGGCACACUCGUAACGUGCAGGUCUGCGGUUCGAUCCCGCAAGGUGGCU
rnacentral:tRNA from 1 species